AGAGUUUGAUCAUGGCUCAGGAUAAACGCUGGCGGCGUGCCUAACACAUGCAAGUCGAACGCCCUACGCAAGUAGGGAGUGGCGGACGGGUGAGGAACACGUGGGUGAUCUACCCCGAGGUGAGGAAUACCGGCGAGAAAUCGCCGACAAUACCGCAUAGCCUUCGGAGACGAAGGAAAGUCGCAAGACGCCUGGGGAUG
rnacentral:rRNA from 1 species